AUGAACGCUAGCUACAGGCUUAACACAUGCAAGUCGAGGGGCAGCAUGGUCUUAGCUUGCUAAGGCCGAUGGCGACCGGCGCACGGGUGAGUAACACGUAUCCAACCUGCCGUCUACUCUUGGACAGCCUUCUGAAAGGAAGAUUAAUACAAGAUGGCAUCAUGAGUCCGCAUGUUCACAUGAUUAAAGGUAUUCCGGUAGACGAUGGGGAUGCGUUCCAUUAGAUAGUAGGCGGGGUAAUGGCCCACCUAGUCUUCGAUGGAUAGGGGUUCUGAGAGGAAGGUCCCCCACAUUGGAACUGAGACACGGUCCAAACUCCUACGGGAGGCAGCAGUGAGGAAUAUUGGUCAAUGGGCGAGAGCCUGAACCAGCCAAGUAGCGUGAAGGAUGACUGCCCUAUGGGUUGUAAACUUCUUUUAUAAAGGAAUAAAGUCGGGUAUGCAUACCCGUUUGCAUGUACUUUAUGAAUAAGGAUCGGCUAACUCCGUGCCAGCAGCCGCGGUAAUACGGAGGAUCCGAGCGUUAUCCGGAUUUAUUGGGUUUAAAGGGAGCGUAGAUGGAUGUUUAAGUCAGUUGUGAAAGUUUGCGGCUCAACCGUAAAAUUGCAGUUGAUACUGGAUAUCUUGAGUGCAGUUGAGGCAGGCGGAAUUCGUGGUGUAGCGGUGAAAUGCUUAGAUAUCACGAAGAACUCCGAUUGCGAAGGCAGCCUGCUAAGCUGCAACUGACAUUGAGGCUCGAAAGUGUGGGUAUCAAACAGGAUUAGAUACCCUGGUAGUCCACACGGUAAACGAUGAAUACUCGCUGUUUGCGAUAUACUGCAAGCGGCCAAGCGAAAGCGUUAAGUAUUCCACCUGGGGAGUACGCCGGCAACGGUGAAACUCAAAGGAAUUGACGGGGGCCCGCACAAGCGGAGGAACAUGUGGUUUAAUUCGAUGAUACGCGAGGAACCUUACCCGGGCUUAAAUUGCAGAUGAAUUACGGUGAAAGCCGUAAGCCGCAAGGCAUCUGUGAAGGUGCUGCAUGGUUGUCGUCAGCUCGUGCCGUGAGGUGUCGGCUUAAGUGCCAUAACGAGCGCAACCCUUGUUGUCAGUUACUAACAGGUUCCGCUGAGGACUCUGACAAGACUGCCAUCGUAAGAUGUGAGGAAGGUGGGGAUGACGUCAAAUCAGCACGGCCCUUACGUCCGGGGCUACACACGUGUUACAAUGGGGGGUACAGAGGGCCGCUACCACGCGAGUGGAUGCCAAUCCCAAAAACCUCUCUCAGUUCGGACUGGAGUCUGCAACCCGACUCCACGAAGCUGGAUUCGCUAGUAAUCGCGCAUCAGCCACGGCGCGGUGAAUACGUUCCCGGGCCUUGUACACACCGCCCGUCAAGCCAUGAAAGCCGGGGGUACCUGAAGUGCGUAACCGCGAGGAGCGCCCUAGGGUAAAACUGGUGACUGGGGCU
rnacentral:rRNA from 1 species